rnacentral:SRP_RNA from 11 species
AUGUCGACGUGAGGAAUCGAGUAUGUUUGGAAGCUCUUGGUUGCAGUCGAAGGGCUACUUUCGGAGAUCCAGAAACGCGGAGUGCACUAGUCUGCAAAGAGCACAGAAAGCCAUGGCACA